rnacentral:rRNA from 1 species
UACGUAGGGUGCAAGCGUUGUCCGGAAUUAUUGGGCGUAAAGAGCUCGUAGGCGGUCAGUCGCGUUCUGCUGUGAAAACUCGGGGCUUAACCCCGGGCCUGCAGUGGGUACGGGCUGACUAGAGUGCGGUAGGGGAGACUGGAAUUCCUGGUGUAGCGGUGAAAUGCGCAGAUAUCAGGAGGAACACCGGUGGCGAAGGCAAUCCCCUGG